rnacentral:rRNA from 1 species
GCCAACGUCCAUACUACGUUGAACACACCGGUUCUCGUCCGAUCACCGAAGUUAAGCAACGUCGGGCGCGGUCAGUACUUGGAUGGGUGACCGCCUGGGAACACCGCGUGCCGUUGGCUUUU